rnacentral:rRNA from 1 species
UACGUAGGGUGCGAGCGUUGCCCGGAUUUAUUGGGCGUAAAGGGCGCGUAGGCGGCUCUGCACGUCCGUUGUGAAAUCGCCCGGCUCAACUGGGCGGGGUCAGCGGAUACGGCGGAGCUUGAGCAAGCUAGGGGGCAAUGGAAUUCCCGGUGUAGUGGUGAAAUGCGUAGAGAUCGGGAAGAACACCAGUGGCGAAGGCGGCCGGCUGGGGGCGCCCUGACGCUGAGGCGCGAGAGCGUGGGGAGCAAACCGG